rnacentral:rRNA from 1 species
UAGGAAUCUUCCACAAUGGGCGAAAGCCUGAUGGAGCGACGCCGCGUGAGGGAUGAAGGCCUUAGGGUUGUAAACCUCUAAAAGAGGGACGAUAAUGACGGUACCUCUUGAAUAGCACCGGCUAACUCCGUGCCAGCAGCCGCGGUAAUACGGAGGGUGCAAGCGUUAUCCGGAAUCACUGGGCGUAAAGGGCGCGUAGGCGGUCUGUUAAGUCCGAUGUUAAAUCCCGGGGCUCAACCCCGAUAAGCGUUGGAUACUGGCAGGCUAGACGGUUGGAGAGGCGAGUGGAAUUACCAGUGUAGCGGUGGAAUGCGUAGAUAUCAAGAGGAACACCUGAGGCGAAGGCGGGUUGCUGGGCCGACACUGACGCUGAUGCGCGAAAGCCAGGG